AGCAGCCGCGGUAAUUCCAGCUCCAAUAGCGUAUAUUAAAGUUGUUGCAGUUAAAAAGCUCGUAGUUGAAUUUCGGGAUUGACACAUCGGUCGUGCCUUAAGGGGUAUGAACUGGUGUAGUCAAUUUCUCACCUUCUGGAGAACCACGAUGUCCUUAAUUGGGUGCCGCGAGGAACCAGGACCUUUACUUUGAAAAAAAUUAGAGUGUUUAAAGCAGGCAUUUUUGCUUGAAUACAUUAGCAUGGAAUAAUAAAAUAGGACGGCAUGAUUCUAUUUUGUGGUUUCUAGGAUCACCGUAAUGAUUAAUAGGGAUAGUUGGGGGCAUUAGUAUUCAAUUGUCAGAGGUGAAAUUCUUGGAUUUAUUGAAGACUAACUACUGCGAAAGCAUUUGCCAAGGAUGUUUUCAUUAAUCAAGAACGAAAGUUAGGGGAUCGAAGACGAUCAGAUACCGUCGUAGUCUUAACCAUAAACUAUAGCCGACUAGGAAUCAGACGAUGUAAUUUUUAAUGACUCGUUUGGC
rnacentral:rRNA from 1 species